rnacentral:rRNA from 1 species
AGAGUUUGAUCAUGGCUCAGAACGAACGCUGGCGGCGUGGCUAAGACAUGCAAGUCGAACGAGCUAUCCAAUUGAGUAAUCGAGAGGAUAGUUAGUGGCGAAAGGGUUAGUAAUAGAUAGGUAACGUACCCCGGGCUCCGGGACAGCGUCCCGAAAGGGGCAUUAAUACCGGAUAAUAUCAGCAAUUAUUAAGAUUGUUGCUCAAAGAUUCAUCGGACCGGGAGCGGCCUAUCUCCUAUCAGCUAGUUGGUGAGGUAACGGCCCACCAAGGCGAUGACGGGUAACGGGACUGAGAGGUUGACCCGUAACAUCGGGACUGAGACACUGCCCGGACCUCCACGGAGGGCUGCAGUAACGAAUAUUGCGCAAUGGGCGAAAGCCUGACGCAGCGACGCCGCGUGUGGGAGGAAGUCUUUCGGGAUGUAAACCACUGUCAGGGGUUAGAAAGUGCACUUCGGUGCAUUGAUCCGCCCCAGAGGAAGUCACGGCUAACUUCGUGCCAGCAGCCGCGGUAAGACGAAGGUGGCGAGCGUUGUUCGGUGUCACUGGGCUUAAAGGGUGUGUAGGCGGAUGUGUAAGCGCUUUGUGAAAUCCCUCGGCUUAACCGAGGAAUUGCUUGGCGAACUGCACAUCUUGAGGCAGACAGGGGUCAGUGGAACUGUUGGUGGAGCGGUGGAAUGCGUAGAUAUCAACAGGAACGCCGGUGGUGCAAACGACUGACUGGAUCUGUUCUGACGCUGAGACACGAAAGCGUGGGGAGCAAACAGGAUUAGAUACCCUAGUAGUCC